CAGGUUCCUUGGGACCGCUGGAAUCAGACGGUGAGCUCUGAGACGGUGCGACGGAGAAGCCGGAUGUCUGAGUUUUCGGGCUGUGAGAGAUGCUAUGUUGCUUCUUUUCCUUCUGCUGCAUUUGAAUGUCCCUCAAUGAUGGUCGGCUUAAAAUAGGUGAACUCCCUGACCAUGGGGGUGUACUUUUUUCUCCUUCGAACGGCACCGCACCAGCGGG
rnacentral:misc_RNA from 1 species